UAUCACAGUAUAGAUUAUAGAAACUGUACAAAAUAAACUGAUGUGAUCUGAUGGAACACAAAAUAUACACACCAUAAGUGAAAAUAAGAAAAAAAUAACUAUUGUUUGAAUAGUUGAUCACCAUAUUUAGCGGGACACCUGCUUGAAUAUCGGUACUGUCCCGCCAAAAUCGGGACGUCUGGUCACACUAUCAGUAUAGUCCCAGUUCCCAUUCGUGGUUGUUCUCUCUCGACUCUCAGUGUGGGUAAUAAGUAAUUGUAAUUUAUUUCAAUAAUGUCGGAAAAAUUAAAAAAUUACAGAACGGGAAAUAAAAGUCGUCUGCGCGUUAAUGUAAAACGAAAAAAGGCUAGGUUAAACGAAGGCUUGAUUAAAUGGUUUACUAAUAAGAAUUUUUAAUCAUUAGGGCUAAAAAUGAAAAUGCAUUAAAUAAAGAUUUUACACGGAACAUAGACACUCCUUCGUUAUUGUUCAGUCCGAACUCGGUCGAAAUUUUAUCUUAAGUCUCUAAAAACCUAGUUAAAUUUUAGACACUAUAAUCAAACUUUAAAAUAAAAAACCACUGGUAUUUUAAAUCAAACAUCUAUAAAUAUCCGAAAUAGUCCACAUUUUUUCUGUAGUUGGUGAAAAAUUCAAGAUUUUAGUUUAAAAAAUUAGAUUUUAUAGGCAGUUAAAUUUUUUUCAUUUUGCGACAGUCGAAAACUUUGUAGUUUAUUCGCAUCGCUGUUAAUUUAUUUUUGGCAUUUUGAAAAACUUUUAUUUUUAUCUUUUACAGUGCCAUCUGUGUAAAAUUUGAUACUGGUGUUAUGACCAUAACCUUCAGUUAACCUCUACACACCAUUACACAAAACAACCAACUACACUAAGCCUAAUAAUACUCAUAUUAUAAUAGCUCUCUGAGUCAUACAUUGGCAUACCUAUACGAUAGAUGACUAAUGGUUAUUACAGAGCGCACCUGCAUGAUUAUCUGGCAUAGUGAUUGAAUUAUAUUACAAAUAUAUAUAUAUAUAUCAAAACUACCUUAGUCCGUUUCGCUUUGAUAAGCUAUUUGGGAAAAACAUGUUAUUGCCAUUUUAUAAGAUUAGAUUGCCAAAAUAAUGCCAAUUAAAAUAAUCAUACGAUGUGCGUCCGCUGUAGCAUCCGCCCAUCAAGUCAACACAAUUUACACAAUAACACAUUACACAGAUUAGCAUAACCAUAUAAAUAGGAGCAGGAUCAAAGCCUAUUCCAGACGAAUUAUUACACUCAAGUUAAAUACACCUAUGUAGCAGUUGUCUACGCACUUUUACUGUACAAUAAAUUUAUACUUAUAAUUUUGAAAAAAAGUCUUAAAUUAUUUUAAAUCCAUCUUCCUGAAUUGGUUUCAAAUUGAACAACACGAUACUUUUUGAUAUUAUAUAU